rnacentral:rRNA from 1 species
UACGGGGGGGGCAAGCGUUAUUCGUCAUAAUUGGGCGUAUAGGGUAUGUAGGCAGUAUUUGCAGUUUAAAAUAAAAUACCAAAGCUUAACUUUGGACUAUUUUUUACGUUUAUAAAUACUUGAGUUAAACUAAGGAUAGUAGUACUCUCAGUGUAGAGGUGGAAUUCGAAAAAAUUGAAGGGGACUACCGUCCGGCGAAGGCGACUAUCUGGGUUUAACUGACGCUGAUAUACGAAAGCAUAGGAAGCAAAAAGG